rnacentral:lncRNA from 1 species
AGCUAAAACAUUUUUCACAUUUUUUCCCCAAACUCAGUUUUGCUUAAUUGGUAAAGGCAAGAAAUUAUAAACACGAUAAUCCCAGUACAAUGUCUAGUACAUAAUAGGUACUAUAAAAAUAUUUGCUGAAUGAAAAUCAUCAACAUAUGAACAGAAGCAGAAAUUAACUUGAGCAUGUUUAAUCUCCAUAACUGUUAUAGAACCCUUUAGAGCUUUCAGUCAUUCCUACAACAGUUAUUAAUUACUUUCUUCCAGAUAGGUACCAUGGGAGAAAGAUGGAUUAAAAGAUGUCCCUGCCCUGAAUGAGCUCUCACUUGAGUAUGCCUAUGUCUAAAUGUGUGUGCUGGGAGAGUGGGCAGGGUGGGGGGAACAGAGGAUGACAAACGGGUCAGUAAUGAAUGUGAAACCAGGCUGCAUUGUUAUCUUAGUGUAUUGGGCUCAGGCAGUUAUAAAAAAAUUAAAUUAAAUUUAAAAACCACAAAUCUGCAAAGUUUUGAAGUAACAAGGAGGCACAUUAGGGUAUACUAGCAACUGGAAAUGUUAUUUUUUCGUGUGCCUUCGUAAUCCCUCUUAUUGCCUCUUCAUGUUUUAAAAUCAGAAUAUUCUGAAUUUACUUAUUUGAAUUAUCAAUAAAAAUUAACCACCAAUGUAUAUUAUCUCAUAUGUGAGGCACUGAAGGAUAAUAGCUACUACUGAUUCCGUACUUACUGUGUACACAUUAAUACCUAAAUAUAUAACCCAAGAACAUAUGUAAAUUUUUUAAAUGGCUAUAAAACUGACAGAGCUUGAAGCAAUUCUCCAGAGAUGAAUGAUGUAAAUAGAAGCUAAAAACAUGGUAUUACCCAGGGAGAGAAUAAAGUAUGCACACAACUGAGAAGCAAUUUUACGGAAGUCUUUAAGAGCACAAAAUCUUCAAGGGAAAACUCCUGCCAGAAUUGGCCAACAGAGCCAGAAAACAACAGCCUGCCAACAGGGAUCUUGUUUAAUGCAAGUCACUAACUAGACUCACAGAAAGUGAAUACCUAAAAGUCAGUGCUGUAGUUGUUCAAAUUUGAGUUUUGGGAGGACCCUUCCAAACAUACAUAACCAAGACUAAACCACCACAUUCCAUGUUAAAGGGUUCUCUGCUUGUCAGAACAGGACAACCACCACCACCAUCAAAAAAACUGGGAAAUAGACUUUCCUUAUGACACUUAGAAUUCCUGCAAACACGGGUUAGUUAUUUUACAUGAAGCAUGUACGUGACUCCUGGUUUCUGAGAAAACAUUUUUUUCUCUCUAUCCUACAGUGCUAGGCAAAGCACCCCAAAGCCUCUUGAUUUUAAACACAGAAAACUCCACUGCCGAAAUGUUUGCCCUAUCCCAGCGCUAAAGCCUUAGAAGCACCGACGAAUCUAGGCCAAGGAGUACAAGAUGGCAGUGAGAUACCACAAUGCAGGCAAGGAAGACGGGAUGGGCCCCAAUCGGGAAGCACGCGCCACCAGCUCUGGAGAGAACCGUCUGAGGAGACGCGGGGGAGAGUUUGGGUCACAGGAGCAGGAAGGAACUGGCAGGUGUCUGUCACCUUAUCAUCCCGGACACCAUGUUUACAUUGUAAUUGGCUUCUUUACAGAGAGGGAGGGACCAGGUUCCCAGUGUGAGUGAUGUUUAGAGGUUUUCUGAGAAGCACAAGGACUGGACUUUGACAGGAAGCAACGAGGCAAGAGGGAAGCUCGAGAACAGGUUUUGCUGAGGAUUCCCCCCAAGAAAAGUGCUCCCCGGGAGGCCGUUCCUGGCACCAAGACUGGCGGAGCCACCACACCCGUUAAAGGGAUCCACCUGGACAGCGAUCAGGCGUGAGCCCCCCGAGGGGAAGUUGAAGUGGAAGCAGACGUGGGUGGCAAAAGGCUGCAUUGGGGGUCUGACCCAGAAGGAAACCUGAUCAGGAGGGGGGAGAGGCUGAACGGAGGAAGGGGCCGGCAGAGUGGGUAGUUGAGUAGGAUGAGACUUCUUUGGAGGCGAGGCUAACUACAUUAAACUCUGGGAAGGGAGGGCUUCCGUCGGACCCUGGGAGAAAGGCAGGUCUGGAGAGGAAAGACUGGCUUGGGGGGCCUGCGCGUCCGGCUCUGGAAGGCAACUCCUACUGGGGGCGGCGCGCAGCCGGCCUGGCGGGCGAGCCUCGUGCGGCCCGGGGGUGCGGCCGGCCCGCGCGAGCUCAACAGGAGCUCACCUGGGAUGCGUGCGGCCCUGUGGGAGGAAACUUCCUGGAAGCACCUCCAAGGAUCACGUAGGACCAGCAGAAGCAGCGUAAAGUAUUGGAACUUUGAAUCUGACAUCAGAAAGACCUGCACUCAGCCGGGCACGGUGGCUCACGAUUGUAAUCCCAGGCCGAGGCGGUGGAUCACUUGAGCGAGCUGAAAUUUACCAUAAUCCGGCUGAUGUUUAGACUGCACCCAUCGUUUUUUCCAUUCAUCUAUGAGUAAAGGAGAAAAAAAGAACGUAAAGACAAAAUGCAGCUAAUACUGACCAAGACUUACAGGAACGGUAAAGAAGAAGGAACUGAGUCUCUAAGAUGGAGGAUAUACAACUGACAAGUAGUAAAGUCAAGAUACACAGCCAGUUCUGGAGGCUGGGACGUCCAAGAUCAAGGUGUCAACUCCUCUCUGAAAGCUGUCUGCUUCCAAGGUGGUGCCUCUUGCUGUGUCCUCACCUGGAAGAAGGAGGCAAAAAGGGAUGGACAUUGUGUCUUCACAUGGCAGAAUAGAUGGAAGGACCAGGCUGCUCUCUGAAGCUUCUUUUAUAAGGGCAUUAUUCCUGCCUAUUAGAGCAGGGCCCUUAUGGCUUAAUCACCUCCCAAAGGCCCCAUUUCAUCUCAAAACCAUCACCUUGGUGUUUUAAGUUCCAACAUAUGAAUUUUGGAGGGACACUUACAUUCAAACCGUAGCACCACUAUAUAAAGCACUUUGGGUUAACUCAAUGUGAUUUAAUUCAAUAACUAUGGAGCUACCCCUAUGAACCUAGCACUAAGAGAGAUAUAAAAGCACAGUAGUUAUCCUCUAGAUAUGUCUAAUGAAAGAGAUGUCAGGCUUAGAGGGUAUGCCUCCUUGUUCUGUCUCUUACCAACUGCGUGAUCCUGAGUUCAUUGAGGCCAUAUCAUGAUUUUUGUGGGCUCUAGGCACUUUUGCCCUUAUGGACCCCUUCUUCCAUAAAAAAGCAUUUAAAGAUAUAUUUAUGACUGCAUCAGCAUAAAGACAAACACAAAACA